GAUGAACGCUGGCGGCGUGCCUAAUACAUGCAAGUCGAGCGAACAGACGAGGAGCUUGCUCCUCUGACGUUAGCGGCGGACGGGUGAGUAACACGUGGAUAACCUACCUAUAAGACUGGGAUAACUUCGGGAAACCGGGGCUAAUACCGGAUAAUAUAUUGAACCGCAUGGUUCAAUAGUGAAAGACGGUUUUGCUGUCACUUAUAGAUGGAUCCGCGCCGCAUUAGCUAGUUGGUAAGGUAACGGCUUACCAAGGCGACGAUGCGUAGCCGACCUGAGAGGGUGAUCGGCCACACUGGAACUGAGACACGGUCCAGACUCCUACGGGAGGCAGCAGUAGGGAAUCUUCCGCAAUGCGCGAAAGCCUGACGGAGCAACGCCGCGUGAGUGAUGAAGGUCUUCGGAUCGUAAAACUCUGUUAUUAGGGAAGAACAAAUGUGUAAGUAACUAUGCACGUCUUGACGGUACCUAAUCAGAAAGCCACGGCUAACUACGUG
rnacentral:rRNA from 1 species